UGAAAGAAUUUCAUCCAAUUUGGGAAAUUUGAGGAGGGAGUUGAUGUGCCUUUGAAUUGAUCUUGCAAAGAGUAGAGGGAAAGAUCAAGAUUGAAGUAUUCGUUGCUGGAUGAAGAGGGAAUAUCUGAUGGAGGGGCCUGUGGUUGGGUGUAUGUAGUAGGUGGCUCUACGAUUUGGACUUGGGAUUCUUUACUGGGGUUAGAGUCUGUAAUCGUAGAGUUGAUGGGAUGUGGGAGAAUUAUGAAGUUGGUCGCAUUUAUUUCUCAGUUACAGAAUUUUGGGAUUCUGCAACUGGAAAUUGAUUUACUGGAUGAAGAAUUACUUCCAACCAUCGUGGGAAUUCAUAAAAUUGAUUAAAUGAAGAUGAUCACAAGUGAUUAAUUCUGAAAAGGGUUGGGAUAGAUAGUACCUCAGGUUUGUUCUUUGAGGAAGAGUUGUUGGUGAGUAGUUUUUGGAAAAAUUUAAUCUUCCUGGAAAUCCACUAGGUAGCACUG
rnacentral:lncRNA from 1 species